AUUUGAGGUGGAACCGGAAGAUU
rnacentral:piRNA from 1 species